rnacentral:misc_RNA from 1 species
GGAGAAAAUUUGGCAUCACACCUUUUACAAUGAGCUCCGUGUGGCUCCUGAAGAGCAUCCGGUUCUCCUCACUGAAGCUCCUCUCAACCCUAAGGCCAAUCGUGAGAAAAUGACUCAGAUUAUGUUUGAGACCUUUAAUACUCCUGCAAUGUAUGUUGCUAUCCAGGCUGUCCUUUCCCUUUACGCCAGCGGUCGUACCACUGGUGAGUGAUAUCUCCAUUGUCUAUUGGUUGUUUUGUCACUUUGAUGCAUGGGAAAUAUAGCUACAGCAAUGAUUUUUUUUUCUUAUAAAUAUAAAAAAGCGGAGUUGUGAAAACCUCAUGAAACAGAUGAUAUUUGAAAGUGGGGAUCAUAUUCUUUUGAUGUUGAAUUAAGAUAUCCAAAUAGUUUACCUCAUAUUGAGCAGUUAAGAAACCCAUAUUUUCUAGUUGAUUGAAACUUGCUCAAAACUCAGAGAAAGAAAGUUCAUAUAUAUCACUAUGAAAGGGAAUAUUUUGGGAAAUUUGUAAACCAUCUGCAUUUCUAUCAUCAUAGUUGCCACACAAUCUAUUUUCAAAAAUUGGUGGCAUUAAUCACAUGACUAACAAACAAAUGAGUUAAAUGGGUUUCCAGUAAUUGAAAUUUUAUAUGAUAUAUAUUGGGAUGACUUUAGUCUCAGGAAAGCCAAACAAGUGCCUUUCACAAGAUUCAUUUGUUAUGUCCUACUAUUACCAUGGCUUUUUUAUGAUUGCGAUGAACUGUGAGAGUUAAUAUUUAAUGAUUUAUGUGGUAAUUUUUAGGUAUUGUUCUGGACUCUGGAGAUGGUGUGAGCCACACAGUUCCCAUCUAUGAAGGCUAUGCCCUCCCACAUGCCAUUCUGCGUCUGGAUCUGGCAGGUCGUGAUCUUACUGAUGCACUUAUGAAAAUCUUGACUGAGCGUGGUUACUCUUUCACCACCACUGCUGAGCGAGAAAUUGUUAGAGACAUGAAGGAGAAACUAGCCUACAUUGCUCUUGACUAUGAACAAGAGCUAGAGACGUCAAAGACCAGCUCAUCUGUUGAGAAGAGCUAUGAGCUGCCAGAUGGGCAGGUUAUCACAAUUGGAGCAGAGCGAUUCCGCUGUCCAGAAGUCCUUUUCCAACCAUCCAUGAUUGGGAUGGAAGCUGCUGGCAUCCAUGAGACCACUUACAACUCUAUCAUGAAAUGUGAUGUCGAUAUUAGGAAGGAUCUGUAUGGUAAUAUUGUUCUCAGUGGUGGCUCAACUAUGUUCCCUGGCAUUGCUGACAGGAUGAGCAAGGAGAUUACUGCAUUAGCUCCCAGCAGCAUGAAGAUUAAGGUGGUGGCACCA